AGAUUGAACGCUAGCGGGAUGCUUUACACAUGCAAGUCGAACGGCAGCGCGGACUUCGGUCUGGCGGCGAGUGGCGAACGGGUGAGUAAUAUAUCGGAACGUGCCCAGUAGCGGGGGAUAACUACGCGAAAGCGUGGCUAAUACCGCAUACGCCCUACGGGGGAAAGGGGGGGAUUCUUCGGAACCUCUCACUAUUGGAGCGGCCGAUAUCAGAUUAGCUAGUUGGUGAGGUAAUGGCUCACCAAGGCGACGAUCCGUAACUGGUCUGAGAGGAUGAUCAGUCACACUGGAACUGAGACACGGUCCAGACUCCUACGGGAGCAGCAGUGGGAAUAUU
rnacentral:rRNA from 1 species